CACGUAGGCACCAAGCGUUGUCCGGAUUUAUUGGGCGUAAAGAGCUCGUAGGCGGUUCGGUAAGUCGGGUGUGAAAACUCUGGGCUCAGCCCAGAGCCGCCACCCGAUACUGCUGUGACUUGAGUUCGGUAGGGGAGCGGGGAAUUCCUGGUGUAGCGGUGAAAUGCGCAGAUAUCAGGAGGAACACCGGUGGCGAAGGCGGAUCUCUGGGCCGAUACUGACGCUGAGGAGCGAAAGCGUGGGGAGCGAACAGG
rnacentral:rRNA from 1 species